GACGAACGCUGGCGGCGUGCCUAAUACAUGCAAGUUGAGCGCUGAAGGUUGGUACUUGUACCAACUGGAUGAGCAGCGAACGGGUGAGUAACGCGUGGGGAAUCUGCCUUUGAGCGGGGGACAACAUUUGGAAACGAAUGCUAAUACCGCAUAAAAACUUUAAACACAAGUUUUAAGUUUGAAAGAUGCAAUUGCAUCACUCAAAGAUGAUCCCGCGUUGUAUUAGCUAGUUGGUGAGGUAAAGGCUCACCAAGGCGAUGAUACAUGGCCGACCUGAGAGGGUGAUCGGCCACAUUGGGACUGAGACACGGCCCAAACUCCUACGGGAGGCAGCAGUAGGGAAUCUUCGGCAAUGGACGAAAGUCUGACCGAGCAACGCCGCGUGAGUGAAGAAGGUUUUCGGAUCGUAAAACUCUGUUGGUAGAGAAGAACGUUGGUGAGAGUGGAAAGCUCAUCAAGUGACGGUAACUACCCAGAAAGGGACGGCUAACUACGU
rnacentral:rRNA from 1 species